CGAAGAUGAGUGAUUUUAAUGGUUCGUAUUUAUUUAUUUUUAAAUUUUUUGAGUGAUUUCAAUGUGUUGCUGUUUAUUGGUCUUUGUACAUGUCCAGAGAACCGGUCGACGGAGAGUCAGUGACGCCCUCAACGACGACGAAGAUGAGGACGACGGUUCUUCAAGAUGGAAGUUGAAGUGAGGAAGAUGCCGCUAUUUUUGUGCACGGAGAUGUCAUUAGUACUAAAAGCGGAUAUAUAGUUGUUGCCCUAUAUGAACAUUGAGAGUCAAGUUGCCAAGUUUCUCUAUGUAUUCAUGUGUUUAUGAAGUGUUGCCCUAUAUUCGCGUUUUCUUAUCUUCUUCCCGCCCUAAUAGUAGCAAGAGUGUCAUAUGAGCACCAUUUUUGAAGAUAAACAGAGAUGCCCAAUCCAUUGUCUAACCUUAAUAAAAUAGAAAACCCUUCCCUGAAUUGAAACCAAAUUUUCCAAAUCAGUUAUAAAGAUCGGAUGAUUCAAAACAUUAUGGACUCUCUCUCUCUCCCCCCAUGGGACGAGGGUUGGAGCAUCAUGGACUCUUAGUUUUCCUGUUUUGAGCUCCAUCUCCUCGUCCUCUUUGUCUAACUUCUCCCUACAGAGCUUGCAAUCACUCCCUCAGUGGUAAUUUCCCUUAUUACUUUUGGUUCAGUGUCAUAGCUAGAUUGAGUAAUUUGCUUGUACUUUUUGGGUUGGUUAGGGCUAGAAGACGGUUAUUUUGUUCUCUUUUGUGGUUUUCUAUGUUGGAGAGGUAAUUUUCCGUUGGUUUUCAGUUUCUACGAUUUGUGCAUUAUAUGGUAAUAUGUUGUACGUUUGCUUUAGAAUUGCUGCUUUAAAUGAUGCAUGUAUUCCAUUUAUGGUGUCCCUAGGAUCUUUAAAUCACACAAUGCACUGGAUUUUACAACAUGUCACUGAAUCAUGACGCUUAUAAGGCAGCUACAUAGGUUCAGAAAAGCUAUAUUUUUUUUAGUGAAAUAAUUUUAAGCAUCAGUAAUAGAAGUAGUAGAAGCCACAUAAAUAGCCACUGAGGUGUGAAGAAAGGAAAAAGAGCAAGGUAGAGGGAAAACGAAGGAAAAAGUAAUUAAGGAAAGAAAAAGGGAAGAUGAGACAGAAAAUAUAGUAAUUGGUGGGACAAGUAAUUCUAUUAAAGUUAUCGUGGGUAGGCACUAGGCAGUAAUUAUGUUUUUCCUUUUUCAUGUACCCUAAUAGAUUUUUUUGCAUUGUCUUUCUUGUUCAUUUUAUCUUAUAUAUAGUAGGGGAUACAGAUUUGCCUAUGUUGGACUUCCUUUGUCAUCUUGUAUGUGUGUGCACCAGAACACUUUGAUUGUCCUUUGGAGUUCAAUAGUUAAAAUCAACUGAAGGAUGAUGACGACUAUGCUCCUUAUAGACUUGAUUUUCCAAUGCUCAAGAUAAUCAGUGAAUCCUCUAUCUAAUUUUCUAUAUGUUUUCUUUCACAUGAUUUACAUUCGAUUGUUCUUUGAUAAAAGCCACUACAUGCAAUGUACAGUUGGAGGAACUCGCUUAAAAUCGAUGAUUACUGAACUGUUGUGAACGUAUAAGGCUACGACUUAGUAUAAAAUGCUUUGGAAUUUGUUGCUCUCAUCAUUGUCUUGGGGAGUGAUUUUAAAGAAUUGGUGUCGAAGCCGUAAAACUAUUGUGUUUGUCUGUUUCCAUGAAUAAUUGUAUUGCUUGGUAUGUCUGAGAUGAUUUUAAGGAGAUACGAGAUAACAUGAUUUCAAAGAAGCUAAUAUUAUUUUGUUGCGUUUGGAGAGAGAUGAGAACAAAGAGUUAUUAGUAAAAGAAACUCCAUUUUCUGCUUGAUUAUUGGAGAAGAAAAAUAUUGUAGGCAAGGCUCAUUUAGUUGGCAUUCACAUUAAAUUCCAUGAAAAAUUCAAGAUUCAAACACAUCGUAAAAGCUCAAGUAUGGGGUCAUAUACUAAUGAGUAAUGAGUGAUAUCAAAAAGUGGUAUUUAUUCUCCAAGAAAUACUUUUUUAGGCUGUGGGUCUUGCAAGUCUUGGAUACAUAUAUAUGCUCUGCUGGUAUUUGAUUGGGAGCUGGAAAUUUGCUUAUGUCAUUUAUAUUUCUUUGUACUCUUGUUGGCAAAUAUUCUAUAUCUUGUGAUGGUAUGUACAUUAUACACAUAUAUACAUAAAUGUUGUUUUGAUUGCCAGAAGAUGAUUCCGAAUGGAUGCUCCUUGGUCACUCCGAGUAUUUUCCUGAAGGUAUUCAACUCAAAGUCUCAUUUCUCGGGUGCAUAUGGUAGCAUCCCUCCUUUGCCUUCCCGUGUUUCCUAUCCAAGCAUUAGAAGUUCAUGGAAACCCUUUCAAGGGCUGACAUUGCAGUCUUCCAUCAGUAUGUUGACAUGGUUGUCAAGUUGAUGCUCUCUUGUUUGUUUCAUUUAGGUUGCAUGUUUUGAAAUUAGAUCCUGGAUUUAUGUAAUUGGAGUGAUUUUUGUGGUAAAAAGUCUUAGUUUCUUGUACCCAGAUUAUAUGAUGUUAGGUGAAGGAAUAUAUAGCUUUGGUUCCCGCUAAGUGAUGUUUUUUAAUGUGGUCAUUUUUCUUCAAAAUCUUAGUUGCUCAAGGCUUGGAAUUAUUUUGGCACGGGCUUCUUUCAGCCUACAUUAUCCAGCAAUCUAUCUAAUAAAGGAACUCAGUGUUUUUGAAUCCCCAUAUUUUCAACAGUUAGAUCUGAUCAUAUUUCCUGACCAUCCCCCGGCCGUUGGAUCUUAGAAGAUGCUUCCUUUGCACUCCGGUCCCCAUACCAACGUCAGAUCCCUCCUCUCUCUCUCUCUCUCUCUCCUGCGAUCUGCUCCUCCACGCAACUUGACAGCUGUAGAUCAUUCUCUCUUUCUCUGAUCAAGGGAAAUGUGGGUGUUUCUCUCUCUUUCAAAAUUCAAACGGCUCUCUCUCUCUCGGUCCCUGCAACAGUGCAACCUUCGGGCUCAGAUCUGAUUUGGACUCAUGGACGACAGCAACUUAUCCAACCUAUUGUAUAGGAGGUUGUGAAUAACCUGAGAAGCUUGGGGCUUGGAGUAGGAAAGCUUGG